rnacentral:rRNA from 1 species
GACGAACGCUGGCGGCGUGCCUAAUACAUGCAAGUUGAGCGCUGAAGGUUGGUACUUGUACCGACUGGAUGAGCAGCGAACGGGUGAGUAACGCGUGGGGAAUCUGCCUUUGAGCGGGGGACAACAUUUGGAAACGAAUGCUAAUACCGCAUAAAAACUUUAAACACAAGUUUUAAGUUUGAAAGAUGCAAUUGCAUCACUCAAAGAUGAUCCCGCGUUGUAUUAGCUAGUUGGUGAGGUAAAGGCUCACCAAGGCGAUGAUACAUAGCCGACCUGAGAGGGUGAUCGGCCACAAUGGGACUUAGACACGGCCCAAACUCCUACGGGGAGCAGCAGUAGGGAAUCUUCGGCAAUGGACGAAAGUCUGACCGAGCAACGCCGCGUGAGUGGAGAAAGUUUUCGGAUCGUAAAACUCUGUUGGUAGGGAAGAACGUUGGUGAGAGUGGAAAGCUCAUCAAGUGACGGUAACUACCCAGAAAGGGACGGCUAACUACGUG